ensembl:lncRNA
CGAAUGCAACAGUACGUCAAAAAACAACCAACAACUGAAAGUCCAUGAAAAUUGAAAUUAAGGUAGAAUAACUGAAUGAGUGUGACUGAAAUAUAAACAUGGAUUAAAUAAUUAUUUUUCCUUCUGAUAGGCUCAUGGCUUUCAGUAGUGCUGGUUUUCACUGGUAUUGGCUUAACUUCCUCUGUAUGCCCCUUAAAACAUGAAUGACUUGUUUACUUUCUUCACUUGUUGCCUCUAAACACAAAAAAAUGAUAUGUACAGAAAGAUAAUACAGUAUUCAGCUACUGAAUUUAUAUACUGAUCAGCAGACCAGACAGAAUCUGUGGAGAUUUUUUUUUUUUUUUUUUUAAUGGCUAAAAUGUUUUAAAUGUAGGUGAAAGUCAUCUGUGGAGUUAAGAUGAAGAUUCAUUACAAGAUCAGUGAUCGGUACAGAUCUGAGGCUUAAGAAAUAUAAAAUCUAAUUUAUUUUAUUUUUUUUUAUUUAUUUUUUUAUCAACAAUUGUAACAUAUACAUGUACAAGAGUUCUAACAAAGUUGCAGCAUGGUAUAAACAAUUUCAUAAAAUUAGCAUAAUGCCUUACUUGUUUAAUUUGUAUUAUUUUCACUUUCAGUUGUCUGAUGAAAAAGAGCAACUGACCGCUUGACAUUGUCUGCAUGUUUUAUGCAUUAAUGAGCAAACAUGAGACUACAAGGUGAAUAAUGUAUUCCACAUUCUUAAUUUUGUUAUUAUGAUCUUAUAUUUUUCAAGUGUAUUAAUGGUUAAGAUGUUUUUGGCACAUUUAUGUGUUACUUUUACAAAACUACCUUCCUUCUUUUAGUCUUUGCCCCAGAUCUGUCGUCUGUUAAAGUGAAUAUAGCUGUACAUGUGGUCUCACGAUCUGUGUUCAUCUUCAUAACUGACUGUUCAAUGCAUUAAUAGUUUGUGGUCUGAUGUUCCACUUCCUUAUUCACCCAUUAUUAGAGUCUCAUUCAGUCUCUUUUCUCACACUCGCUGUUAUGGAGCUGUUCAUCUUCAUAGUUUUUCAGCUCCUGAUGGAGGUUCAGUCUCACCGAUUUCCUAGAGUAAAAGUAUCUCCAGAUGUCAUAAGAGAGUCCAGCUCAGUGAAGAUCAGCUGUGAGACAGAACCACGUGUUACAGUGAUUAAAUGUGCUUUCUACAUAAACAGAGAGGAGAAGAAAAUGAAAACCAGUUCAUCAUGUGAGCUCGAGCUCACUGGUGCUGAAGUGCUCAGAUGGGCAGCUGUAAAAUCACCUGAAUCACUCAAUAUUAUCUGUUACUACACAAUGAUAAAUGAGGCAGGCUCAUUCAUAACAUCAACUGAUUCUGAUCCUGCCACAGUGACAGUUAUAGUUUCAACAUCAACCACUACUGAAAAUAUGACUGCAACAACCAUGAAAACAUGUGAGUAACUGAGUCUGUGAAUCAGUUAUUCUUAUCCCAUUCUGAAUGUCUUCAAAAUGACAAUCACUCUCUCCAGCUCAUGAUUUGUCUAACAUUUUCUAUAAUGUACAGUACAUGACCACACAUUUGAUGAUGAUGUCUUUUCAAUAGCAUUAACUGUAAUGUCCACUUCUGAAACCACAACAUACAGUAAAACUGGUAAGUUGCUAAUCUGUAAUAGUUUUUCUGGUUAUUCUAGAUUAAAUCUGAAAAAUUUCCCCUUCUAAAAACUGAUGGCCCUUGCGAUAUUAUUUUUAUAUUAGCAGACCUCCAAUCCAAGACAAACCUGCCAACCAGUACAGCAAAGGAAACCAUGAGUAAGUUGACUCACUCUUUCUUG